UACGUAGGUGGCAAGCGUUGUUCGGAAUACUGGGCGUAAAGCGCGUGUAGGCGGCUCUUCAAGUCAGACGUGAAAGCCCCGGGCUUAACUCGGGAACUGCGUUUGAUACUGUCGAGCUAGAGUGUGGAAGGGGCGAUUGGAAUUCCGUGUGUAGCGGUGAAAUGCGUAGAUAUACGGAGGAACACCAGAGGCGAAGGCGGCCUCUG
rnacentral:rRNA from 1 species